rnacentral:rRNA from 1 species
CUACUAGGGUAUCUAAUCCUGUUUGCUCCCCACGCUUUCGCGCCUCAGCGUCAGUAUCGGGCCAGUGUGUCGCCUUCGCCACUGGUGUUCUUCCGAAUAUCUACGAAUUGCACCUCUACACUCGGAGUUCCACACACCUCUCCCGAACUCAAGACAGCCAGUAUCAAAGGCAGUUCCAAGGUUGAGCCCUGGGCUUUCACCUCUGACUAAGCUGUCCGCCUACGCGCCCUUUACGCCCGGUAAUUCCGAGCAACGCUAGCCCCCUUCGUAUUACCGCGGCUGCUGGCAC